rnacentral:rRNA from 1 species
GGAUCCUUUAAGGCCGAGACACGAGAUGAACUGACCACGGUCAGGAAGUCACUGAUGCCACGCUUCCAGGAAAAGCCUCUAAGCUUCAGAUCAUGUGCGACCGUACCCCAAACCGACACAGGUGGUCAGGGUGAGAAUCCCAAGGCGCUUGAGAGAACUCGGGUGAAGGAACUAGGCAAAAUGGUGCCGUAACUUCGGGAGAAGGCACGCCGGCGUAGGGUGAUGAGACUUGCUCUCUAAGCCCGAACCGGUCGAAGAUACCAGGUGGCUGCAACUGUUUAUUAAAAACACAGCACUCUGCUAACGCGCAAGCGGACGUAUAGGGUGUGACGCCUGCCCGGUGCCGGAAGGUUAAAUGAUGGUGUUAGCCGCAAGGCGAAGCUCUUGAUUGAAGCCCCGGUAAACGGCGGCCGUAACUAUAACGGUCCUAAGGUAGCGAAAUUCCUUGUCGGGUAAGUUCCGACCUGCACGAAUGGCGUAAUGAUGGCCACGCUGUCUCCACCCGAGACUCAGUGAAAUUGAAAUCGCCGUGAAGAUGCGGUGUACCCGCGGCUAGACGGAAAGACCCCGUGAACCUUUACUAUAGCUUCACACUGGACGCUGAUGUUGCCUGUGUAGGAUAGCUGGGAGGCUUUGAAACUCGGACGCCAGUUCGGGCGGAGCCAACCUUGAAAUACCAGCCUGGCAUCAUUGGCGUUCUCACUCAGGUCCGUUAUCCGGAUCGAGGACAGUGUGUGGUGGGUAGUUUGACUGGGGCGGUCUCCUCCUAAAGAGUAACGGAGGAGCACGAAGGUACCCUCAGCACGGUCGGACAUCGUGCAUUGAGUGCAAGAGCAUAAGGGUGCUUGACUGCGAGACAGACACGUCGAGCAGGUGCGAAAGCAGGUUCUAGUGAUCCGGUGGUUCUGUAUGGAAGGGCCAUCGCUCAACGGAUAAAAGGUACUCCGGGGAUAACAGGCUGAUACCGCCCAAGAGUUCACAUCGACGGCGGUGUUUGGCACCUCGAUGUCGGCUCAUCACAUCCUGGGGCUGAAGUCGGUCCCAAGGGUAUGGCUGUUCGCCAUUUAAAGUGGUACGCGAGCUGGGUUUAGAACGUCGUGAGACAGUUCGGUCCCUAUCUGCCGUGGGCGUUGGAUGUUUGAGAAGGGCUGCUCCUAGUACGAGAGGACCGGAGUGGACGACCCUCUGGUGUUCCGGUUGUCACGCCAGUGGCAUUGCCGGGUAGCUAUGGUCGGACGGGAUAACCGCUGAAAGCAUCUAAGCGGGAAGCCCCCUUCAAGAUGAGACAUCCCUGAGGCCUAGAGCCUCCUGAAGGGCCCAGCGAGACCAGCUGGUUGAUAGGCACGGUGUGGAAGCGCUGCAAGGCGUUGAGCUAACGUGUACUAAUGGCCCGUGAGGCUUGACCCUAUAACACCCAAGGGGUCUGGUCGUAAUGAUGACG